rnacentral:lncRNA from 1 species
GAAAUUUCUGCAAAGAUGUUUGUUUUGAUUGUUUUAUAAUUUUGUUACAGUGGAGCCACUAAUGUUUUCUAGGCUCGUAAAAAAUUGUGCUGCUUAUUACGGCGAAGGCUGUCACCUGAGCAGUUAUGAUAUCGUUAAGAAACUAUAUAUACACCGAUUGGCGGGAGGCUUUAAAUCGUUGGCUAAAAUGACUGGCAAGAGCUCGAUGUUGCACGAAGUGACGUAAAUAGAUGUCUUCAAUCAUUUGCGGAACUUUGCCGUUACGAAAUCCGGCCAUUUCUAAAGCGAUUCAUUGCAGGCAAUGAAAAGGGAAUCACGUGUGACAGGAGAAAUUGCAUCAGAAUGGUGCUGGCGUGGUUUAAAAACAGAUAUGGCAAUAGUAGAUACGCUAAAGCUACUCCAGUGCUUUCGUACAGACUUAGGAUAGAACGUUUCGAUAACGAGUGAAAGUCUAUUUUUGCCUGCGACUUCCUGAAAAAUCGAAGACUAUCGACUACCCCGUUCACAGGCCUUUAGAGCGGGCAGGGAUGUGUGAUUAAUGACGACGCAUAGCAUAUUGCGCCUCACGACGGACCGUUGACGCAGAUGAGACUCACACUUCCCAUAAUGGCGCGUAAGGCUUUUCGUUGGUCUGCUAUGGUACAGUUAGACUAUCGGCCGUCUCUUCGUUCCAACGCUGAUUUCUCUCUUCACUGAUCCCCUAUCCGCAAACUCGCUGAUGCAGCCAACAAGCAACCAAGCGUAAAUUUAAUCGGAACAGAAUGAAAUGGUCCAGUGCUGCAUGAACAAGGUCACGUGUAUCAUGAAGCUGCAAAAUGGCUUACAUCAGUAAGCUGUUAUACCGGUUACACCAAUAUAAAACAGGUUAUACCAGCCGGUCGAAGAAUUAUAAACGCCCUUUAAGCCAAAAUUGAGGACAUUUACGGAGUUAUAUGUCAAGUAUGAAUGAAAGCAUCCUAACAGUUAUUGUGCAUCUGCUACUGCCAAACCUCAACUUUCGAACGAUGCCAGCGCUGACCCCACGCAACGGAUAUUACCUGAGAUACUGAACUUUACCGGAGCCACCUAGGAGAAUAUGCUGGCAGUAGAUUUGAGUCCGUUGUUGUGAUAGAGCACGCACAUACAACGUCAAAUUAUUUUCCCUUGUGAGUGCAAGACGCGGCAGUCAUUUCGUAAAGAGUCUGUAUGGCGUGGAUCGUGUCGACGAGGAAGUAGCGUUUAACGUUCACUUUAACCUUACUGUUAUAAGUUGUCUAAACAAACUAUUUAAACAGAACAACCAGAUUAUGGCGCGAGUACUUUGGCUGUCCAUUUAAAAACGCACUAGGCAUCUGUCGACUUGAACGUGAAUCGGGCUCACCAGAUGUGAAGCCACUUAAGCAGUAUCCGGCCCAAUUGAAGGCACUGAGACAAAAGUGCAGAUUGCAGCUCACCCUGUAGAGCAUUCGGGUACCGAAUAACCUAAUAACUUUGAAGGGAUGGCUUAACAAAAUUGACUAUAGCAACAUAAACAAAAUGCCGGCUUAAUUAAGCUGCCCUGUAGCACGAAUGCACUGGCGAUGUACGUGCGUGCAUCAGCCGUACGCAGAACCCAGCAUAUAAAUGAUAAUAUAAUAAUAUUAAUGCAAAAGAACAACGAAUAGUAAAGCUGGCGAGCAAAGUUGAAA